rnacentral:lncRNA from 12 species
AUGGAGAGCAAGGAAGACAGGGGGCCACAGGACAGCCGCUCCGAGAACCCGAGAACCCGAGAACCCGAGCACCCGGCGGGUGUUCGUGGGGGUGCGCCCCCUGGAGGCGGCGGCAGCCCUCGCCCGGCGGCGCCCAGGAGCCUGAGCUGCGGGUCGGUGCCUCCACCCGCCAAGGAGCGCAUCUUGCUCCCGUUUAUCCACCACGACUACGACGCCCUGCGGCGCGCCAGGCUCCAGCUGCGCGCCGCGGCAGCACAGGGCCUUUGAAGAAUAUACAGAAUGUGAAAGUGCCACACUUCUGAAGGCAACAAUGUUUGGUUUCUUGCCCAAGGUGGAGGCAGGUGAGAAAUGAGAUGUGUUAAUGGGUGCUCUGGGAUUACUUUCACAGAUGUCCUGGAAGGGUUGGUGCAGGUGUGUGUCUGUGAAGGGGGGAGGGGAGGACACUUCAGGAAGGAAACUGAGAGGCUCCACAGCUGGGCUGUCCAACACGGUAGUCGCAAACUACAAGUGGCUGUUGCACACUUAAAUGAAGCAAGUCUAAAAUAAGAUUUGCAUCGCUCGUCAUCAGAAAAUGCAAAUCAGAACUAUAAUGAGAUACCACCUCGCACCUGUCAGAAUGGCUAAAAUCAACAACACAAGAAACAACAGGUGUUGGUGAGGUUGUGCAGAAAGGGGAACCCUCUUGCAUUGUUGGUAGGAAUGCAAACUGUUACAGACACUGUGGAAAAUAGUAUGGAGGUGCCUGAAAAAGUCAAAAGUAGAAUUACUCUAUGACCCAGCCAUUGCACUACUAUGUAUUUACCCAAAGAAUACAAAAAUACUAAUUCAAAGGGAUACAUGCACCCCAAUGUUUAUAGCAGCGUUAUCUAAAAUAAACAAAUUAUGUAAACAGCCUAGGUGUCCA